GGCGGUUCUCAGGUGACACACCUCAGAAUCGGGCUCUCUCCUCUCUGGUUCUGGUGCGUCACCCAAGAACCACA
rfam:Myotis lucifugus cont2.18920, whole genome shotgun sequence.